rnacentral:misc_RNA from 1 species
CAGAACUGAUUCAGUCAUCAAGAUUAACAAGCCCGCGCAAAUGCGCGGGUUUUUUU